AAACUAAAGAGGCACCUACGCACUCAAGGAUUUGCAGCACUCGGCCCAGCUCCAAGCUGCCAGCAGGUUUCACCCGUUAUCAAGCAAGACUGGGAGGAGGGAAACUGGGCAGGAAUUUGUGUCACCGAUACCCCAAACCAGCCGGCCUCUCCAUCUCAUCGUGCUCAGAGCAGGGCUCUCAGGAAGACACCAAGCAGGCUGGUGUUCAAUGAACCCUAUUUGCACGUUCCCUUUGGCUGUGGUCUCGUGUUGAAGUGCCGUGGUCGCUGUCCCGUAAGGUUUUGUCUGCCCUCAGCUUUCAGAUGCCGUGACUCGGGCACACGUCUUGUUCAGGGUAAGGAAGCCAGCCCACUGCUACAGCAGCACAAAGGGAGCUAUUCAGAGCAUGGCUUUGGCCUUACUACAGCUAGGAUGCUUUGGGAAUCUGAAUCAGUUCCUGGAGGGGAUUAUCCACCGUGCUGUGGGUCUGGAGCCCUGGCUCGGCCAGCCCCCCAUCCUGGGGCUCUCAGAAGUCACCAGCAGCGCACACGAGUGGUGCAGCAGCACUGGGGGAGGCGUGGGGCAUUGCUCUCCUCCCUCCAUCCCCUGCCGCUUCCCCUGUCUGUGUCCCAGGAGCGCUGCCUGUGCAGGGGUGCUGCUGGUGCACAGGGGGCUCCCAGGGCCGGGGCUGCAUCGGGGGAGCUGAGCUGGAGACAUGUGCUGCUGCCUGCUCGGGCAGGAUGGAAAUCUGCCUGAGCGCUGGCAGAGAAUGAGCACAAAUAUCACGGGAAAGCCAUUUCAGAGCAGCGAGAUGGACAUCAAACUGAUUCAGUGUUGACAGAAGCAUCACAGCUUUUGUGUGUUUGUCUGAGCAAAUCCCGUCCACUCUGCUAUUUCCUUGAUAAAAUAAACAUCCCUGCUUCCCUGCUGUGAGCUGAGCUCCAGCCCUGCCCCAGCCCUGCUCAAAAGUCUCCUCCUGGGAGCAGGGCGAUGCAGGAGUGGUGCCAGGGCACCUGCAGUCCUGGGUCCCCGGGGCUCCGUUACUGAGGUC
rnacentral:lncRNA from 1 species